rnacentral:rRNA from 1 species
AGCGAACGCUGGCGGCAGGCCUAACACAUGCAAGUCGAACGAACCUUCGGGUUAGUGGCGGACGGGUGAGUAACACGUGGGAACGUGCCUUUUGGUUCGGAACAACUCAGGGAAACUUGAGCUAAUACCGAAUGUGCCCUUCGGGGGAAAGAUUUAUCGCCAUUAGAGCGGCCCGCGUCUGAUUAGCUUGUUGGUGAGGUAAAGGCUCACCAAGGCUACGAUCAGUAGCUGGUCUGAGAGGAUGAUCAGCCACAUUGGGACUGAGACACGGCCCAAACUCCUACGGGAGGCAGCAGUGGGGAAUUUUGCGCAAUGGGCGAAAGCCUGACGCAGCCAUGCCGCGUGAAUGAUGAAGGUCUUAGGAUUGUAAAAUUCUUUCACCGGGGACGAUAAUGACGGUACCCGGAGAAGAAGCCCCGGCUAACUUCGUGCCAGCCGCCGCCGUAAAAC